rnacentral:lncRNA from 1 species
AUAUUCUCAGAAACACUAUAACUUUUCCUGAAGUUGGGACUCUUCUAAAUUCCUCCACGUAAGGGUAUCCAGAUAAUUGGUCUCCAUACACGAAAUUUCCCUUGAUACUCAAACAGAUCUGCCGACGUGUUUUCGAAAGGUCUCUUCGAAAUUGGAUCUCUCACCAUUGUCUCCCGUCAAUACUUGGUCAAUAUACCGUCUGCCUCGCCCUUCUCUUCGUUCUCUCGAUCCCUUGAUGUGCACGAUGUAACCUCUAAAGAACAUCACACCGCUUAUUUCUUGGAAUUACCAGUCUUUCCUUAUAAAGAACAAGACCAUCCUCUAUGCUGAAUUCAUCUAAUAUUUUCACAAAUGAUUCAAUUGUGUCUUUUAUCACACCUAUUUUCUUUGCAUUAAUUAAAUAAACAUAUUCUCGGUCUCGACAAA